AGAGUUUGAUCAUGGCUCAGAACGAACGCUGGCGGCGUGGAUAAGACAUGCAAGUCGAGCGCUGAUUACAGGGUAGCAAUAUUCUGUAGUUGGAGCGGCGCAAGGGUGCGUAACACGUGGGUAAUCUGCCAUGAAGUUUGGGAUAACUUGCUGAAAGGCGAGCUAAUACCGGAUGUGACAAUUGGGAGGCAUCUUUUGAUUGUCAAAGUUGGGGACCGUAAGGCCUGACGCUUCAUGAUGAGCCCGCGGCCUAUCAGCUAGUUGGUAAGGUAACGGCUUACCAAGGCUAAGACGGGUAGCUGGUCUGAGAGGACGACCAGCCACACUGGAACUGAGACACGGUCCAGACACCUACGGGUGGCAGCAGUCGAGAAUUUUUCACAAUGGGCGCAAGCCUGAUGGAGCGACGCCGCGUGGGGGAUGAAUGGCUUCGGCCCGUAAACCCCUGUCAUUUGCGAUCAAACCUUGUUAUUUAAAAGAUGACGAGCUGAUAGUAGCGAAAGAGGAAGGGACGGCUAACUCUGUGCCAGCAGCCGCGGUAAUACAGAGGUCCCAAGCGUUGUUCGGAUUCACUGGGCGUAAAAGGGUGCGUAGGUGGUGGGGUAAGUCGGAUGUGAAAUCUCCGAGCUCAACUCGGAAAUGGCAUUGGAAACUACCCUGCUAGAGGGUCGGAGGGGGGACUGGAAUACUUGGUGUAGCAGUGAAAUGCGUAGAUAUCAAGUGGAACACCAGUGGCGAAGGCGAGUCCCUGGACGACUCCUGACACUGAGGCACGAAAGCUAGGGGAGCAAACAGGAUUAGAUACCCUAGUAGUCC
rnacentral:rRNA from 1 species